GUAUGAGGGUGAUCUGCCUGCCACCCUACUAACUGCAGGGGUUGACCCAGCUGAUCUGGCUGGCAAGACAGGUAUCCUCUUCCUCCAUCCCU
rnacentral:snRNA from 1 species